rnacentral:rRNA from 1 species
GGAGUUUGGUCCGUGUCUCAGUACCAAUGUGGGGGACCUUCCUCUCAGAACCCCUACUGAUCGUCGCCUUGGUGGGCCGUUACCCCGCCAACCGGCUAAUCAGACGCAUCCCCAUCCCUUACCGAUGAAUCUUUGCUCCUCGUUAGAUGCCCGCAAAGGAGAACAUAGGGCAUUAAUCCGACUUUCGCCGGGCUAUUCCCUAGUAAGGGGAAGGUUGGAUACGCGUUACUCACCCGUGCGCCGGUCGCCAUCAACAAAAGCAAGCUUUCGUCAUGAUGCCCCUCGACUUGCAUGUGUUAAGCCUGUAGCUAGCGUUCAUC